rnacentral:rRNA from 1 species
UACGUAGGGGGCUAGCGUUAUCCGGAAUUACUGGGCGUAAAGGGUGCGUAGGUGGUUUCUUAAGUCAGAGGUGAAAGGCUACGGCUCAGCCGUAGUAAGCCUUUGAAACUGGGAAACUUGAGUGCAGGAGAGGAGAGUGGAAUUCCUAGUGUAGCGGUGAAAUGCGUAGAUAUUAGGAGGAACACCAGUUGCGAAGGCGGCUCUCUGGACUGUAACUGACACUGAGGCACGAAAGCGUGGGGAGCAAAUAGG